AGAAACAAUUAUUAAUGGAACAAUAUGUUAGUGAAAAGGAUAAAGAACAACAAAAGGAGACUGGCUCUAUAUCUUGGUACAAUUCCUUCCUUGUCUUUCUUUUUUUCCUUUCUGCAUCC
rnacentral:ribozyme from 13 species